rnacentral:rRNA from 1 species
CUACGGGCCGCUGCAGUGGGGAAUAUUGGACAAUGGGCGCAAGCCUGAUCCAGCAAUGCCGCGUGAGUGAAGACGGCCUUAGGGUUGUAAAACUCUUUCGCUAGGGAAGAUAAUGACUGUACCUAGUAAAGAAGUCCCGGCUAACUCCGUGCCAGCAGCCGCGGUAAUACGGAGGGGACUAGCGUUGUUCGGAAUUACUGGGCGUAAAGAGUUCGUAGGCGGACUGACAAGUUAGAGGUGAAAUCCCAGGGCGCAACCCUGGAACUGCCUUUAAAACUGUCAGUCUAGAGACCGGAAGAGGUUAGGGGAAUACCUAGUGUAGAGGUGAAAUUCGUAGAUAUUAGGUGGAACACCAGUGGCGAAGGCGCCUAACUGGUCCGGUACUGACGCUGAGGAACGAAAGCGUGGGGAGCAAACAGGAUUAGAUACCCUGGUAGUC